UAUGGCCAUAAUACGUGGAAACACUGGUCUUGUCCAAUCACUGAAGUUAAGCAACAUCAAGCCUGGUCAGUACCUAGAUGGGUGACCUCUUGGGAAUACCUGGUGCUGUAAGC